rnacentral:rRNA from 1 species
GCUGGCGGCAGGCCUAACACAUGCAAGUCGAGCGGAUGACGGGAGCUUGCUCCCUUGAUUCNAGCGGCGGACGGGUGAGUAAUGCCUAGGAAUCUGCCUGGUAGUGGGGGACAACGUUCCGGAAAGGAGCGCUAAUACCGCAUNACGUCCUACGGGAGAAAGUGGGGGAUCUUCGGACCUCACGCUAUCAGAUGAGCCUAGGUCGGAUUAGCUAGUUGGUGAGGUAAAGGCUCACCAAGGCGACGAUCCGUAACUGGUCUGAGAGGAUGAUCAGUCACACUGGAACUGAGACACGGUCCAGACUCCUACGGGAGGCAGCAGUGGGGAAUAUUGGACAAUGGGCGAAAGCCUGAUCCAGCCAUGCCGCGUGUGUGAAGAAGGUCUUCGGAUUGUAAAGCACUUUAAGUUGGGAGGAAGGGCAGUAAGUUAAUACCUUGCUGUUUUUGACGUUACCGACAGAAUAAGCACCGGCUAACUCUGUGCCAGCAGCCGCGGUAAUACAGAGGGUGCAAGCGUUAAUCGGAAUUACUGGGCGUAAAGCGCGCGUAGGUGGUUCGUUAARUUUGGAUGUGAAAGCCCCGGGCUCAACCUGGGAACUGCAUCCAAAACUGGCGAGCUAGAGUAUGG